CCUACGGGAGGCAGCAGUGGGGAAUAUUGCACAAUGAGGGGAACCCUGAUGCAGCGACGCCGCGUGGGUGAAGGAGUAUUUCGGUAUGUAAAGCCCUAUUAGCAAGGAAGAACAAUGACGGUACCUGACUAAGAAGCACCGGCUAAAUACGUGACAGCAGCCUCGGUAAUACGUAUGGUGCAAGCGUUAUCCGGAUUUACUGGGUGUAUAGGGAGCGCAGGCGGCGCGUUAAGCCUGGUGUGAAAGCUCGCGGCGCAACCGCGGGACUGCAUUGGGAACUGGCGCGCUGGAGUGCAGGAGGGGUAGGCGGAAUUCGUAGUGUAGCGGUGAAAUGCGUAGAUAUUAGGAAGAACACCAGUGGCGAAGGCAGCUUACUAGACGGUGACUGACGUUGAGGCUCGAAAGCGUGGGGAGCAAACAGGAUUAGAUACCCCAGUAGUC
rnacentral:rRNA from 1 species